UACGUAGGGCGCAAGCGUUGUCCGGAAUUAUUGGGCGUAAAGAGCUCGUAGGCGGUCUGUCGCGUCCGUUGUGAAAACUCGAGGCUCAACCUCGGGCUUGCAGUGGAUACGGGCAGACUAGAGUGCGGUAGGGGAGACUGGAAUUCCUGGUGUAGCGGUGGAAUGCGCAGAUAUCAGGAGGAACACCGAUGGCGAAGGCAGGUCUCUGGGCCGCAACUGACGCUGAGGAGCGAAAGCGUGGGGAGCGAACAGG
rnacentral:rRNA from 1 species